rnacentral:rRNA from 1 species
UCUUCCGCAAUGGACGAAAGUCUGACGGGGCAACGCUGCGAGAGUGAUGAAGGUUUUCGGAUCGUAAAACUCUGUUGUUAGGGAAGAACAAGUACCGUUCGAAUAGAGCGGCACCUUGACGGUACCUAACCAGAAAGCCACGGCUAACUACGUGCCAGCAGCCGCGGUAAUACGUAGGUGGCAAGCGGUGUCCGGAAUUAUUGGGCGUAAAGGGCUCGCAGGCGGUUUCUUAAGUCUGAUGUGAGAGCCCCCUGCUCAACCGGGGAGGGUCAUUGGAAACUGGGGAACUUGAGUGCAGAAGAGGAGAGUGGAAUUCCACGUGUAGCGGUGAAAUGCGUAGAGAUGUGGAGGAACACCAGUGGCGAAGGCGACUCUCUGGUCUGUAACUGACGCUGAGGCGCGAAAGCGUGGGGAGCGAACAG